CAUCAGACGUCAGCUAGCCUGUGUGUUUAAUUCUGGGGGAAGAACAUGAGAGUGGAUAACCAGAAGCUGAGCGACUCCUAAGAAGAUAAAGCCACCAUCUCUUGCGAUCCUUUGAAAGUCCCACCUUCCCACUAGAGACUGAACCUUUAACCUACCUGGUGCCUGGGACCAGCACACCAAAGUAGGUGAUAGGGCAGCUGCCUGAGGAAAGCCAGUUCUCUCUGGCUUUCAGGUCAGGCCUGUGAUUUGGCAGGGUGGAACCUGGUUUGGCCAAGGCCAUGUGUUUCUUUUGUCUGUAAUGGAAGCCAAGGAGAAGAGUUAAGGAACAUAAAUUCGGAAAGAUUAGACUGGAUUAGAACAAGGCCGCUGUUGUUUUUGCCAGAGUUUAAAGGGCGCAGCAAAGACCACCGGACCUAUUACUCCCCUUCUCAUUUGAACACUGCUGCUCUUGUCUUUUCUCUGCUGUCGCAUACACGCGUGUCCCAACACAGGGAAAGGGAGUGUCUAGACUUGGAAAAGAUGGACAGCCAUUGUACACUGGAAAGACAGUCCCCAGAGCUCUGCAAACUCCUUAGCCUGAGAGCCUGUUGAGUUGUCAAAUAAGUCCUUCUCCACAAGUGUUCCUCAGUCUCAAGUGGACAGUCAGUAAGUUUCUAGAAAAUGCCAUCUUUCCCAUUGAUUGACAUCUGUGGAAGUUGCCAGUGCCCCUAAGCAGGUGAAUUUGCAGCCAGGCAAAGCUCAUUUACCUCAGAAAAGGGAGGCCAAAGCGGAAGAGAAGUCACCACGAAGUCAAAGGUGUGAGAGAAUUUUCCAGCAGGUGACAGACACCUGCUACUCAUCUUUGAGGAACACUACCUGGCUGUCCUGGCAAAACGAUGGCUGAAGACUCACUGGCAUUCAGAUGGCUUUAUCUGGUCCUCACAUUUCAAGGUCCCAGCUCCAGUGUCCCGAGUCCCAAGGAUGUCUGGGGGGAAGAGCUACGAUGCAAGCUUCAGAGCAAAUAAAGGUCUUAUGCCCCUACCAGUUCUGUUUUGAGGUGUUUCUGCCAACCUCGCUGAAGACGCUGCAGGAAGUCAGUGGCCUCCAGUGGAGGAGAGCGUCCUACACUUGAAUGAAGAAUGGGCUUUCCUGCAUGGCGCAUGCUCAGUGUUGAGCGGGAGCGUACCAACGAGAUCUAUGUGAGAACAGACCCCUCUGUAGGAAGCAUGGUGCCAGUGCUUACUGGCAUUCGCCAUACUGGAUGCUGCUGUUACAUUACCACAGGGGCUUCUCCUCCUCAAGCUUGAUAUGAACCCAGCUAAGCUGCGCUAUCUUUCUCUCCUCUAUUCACGUUCUUGGACAUACAUAUCCCCUCGUGGGUUCUGGCAAAAGAGAAAGACGCGAGUUCUCUUAGUAUGCUAAAUCUCGG